CCGGUGCGCCCCCGGCGGCCC
rnacentral:snRNA from 1 species